rnacentral:rRNA from 1 species
UACGGAGGUUGCAAGCGUUAUCCGGAUUUAUUGGGUUUAAAGGGUGCGUAGGCGGAUUUGUAAGUCAGUGGUGAAAGCCUGUAGCUUAACUAUAGAAAUGCCAUUGAUACUGCUAAUCUUGAGUACAGUUGAGGUGGGCGGAAUGUGCAGUGUAGCGGUGAAAUGCUUAGAUAUUGCACAGAACACCAAUUGCGAAGGCAGCUCACUAAAGUGUAACUGACGCUGAGGCACGAAAGCAUGGGGAG